UACGUAGGCAGCGAGCGUUGUUCGGAGUUAUUGGGCGUAAAGCGCGUGUAGGCGGCUUUGCAAGUCGGGUGUGAAAUCCCUCGGCUCAACCGAGGAAGUGCGCCCGAAACUGCAUUGCUUGAGUUUCGGAGAGGAUGGCGGGAUUCCCCAAGUAGAGGUGAAAUUCGUAGAUAUGGGGAGGAACACCGGUGGCGAAGGCGACCAUCUGGACGGAUACUGACGCUGAGACGCGAAAGCGUGGGUAGCAAACAGG
rnacentral:rRNA from 1 species